UACGUAGGUGGCAAGCGUUGUUCGGAAUUACUGGGCGUAAAGUGUGCGCAGGCGGCCGCGCAAGUCGAGUGUGAAAGCCCCGGGCUUAACUUGGGAAUUGCGCUCGAAACUACGUGGCUGGAGUAUGGCAGAGGAAGGUGGAAUUCCACGUGUAGCGGUGAAAUGCGUAGAGAUGUGGAGGAACACCGAUGGCGAAGGCAGCCCCCUGGGUUAACACUGACGCUCAGGCACGAAAGCGUGGGGAGCAAACAGG
rnacentral:rRNA from 1 species